AAAGAAGUACAGUCAACAAAGCUGAAUGGAGUUGAAGCUCUGAAGAGCUUUUUUAAAUCAGACAUGGAGAUGUAGAGUUUGGAGUUUGCCCAGCUGGUUUUCAGUCUUGCUUUGGUCCAGUAUCUUCUAUGUUCCCUUACCUAUGUUUUGGAAUGUUAAUGUAUACCCUGUGCCAUUAUAUGUUGCAAGUAUGUGAUCUGUUUUUUGAUUUUGAUUUUACAGGGGAUUACAGUUAAAGAGAUUGCAUGAAUCUCAGACCAGACUUUGAACAGACUUUUAAAUAAGUUUGAGACUUACUGAGAUAGACUGUGGGGACUUUUGAAGUUGGACUGAAUGUAGUUUUGCAUUAUGAUAUGGCUACAUACCUAUGGGGGCCAGGGUGGUGGUUUGAAAGAAAAUGGUCCCCGUAGGGAGUGACACUAUUAGGAGGUGUAGCUUUGUUGGAAUAGCUUUGUUGGUGUGACCUUGUUGGAGGAAGUGUGUUACUGUGGGGGCAGGCUCUGUGGUCUACUAUGCUCAAGCUGCACCCAGUGUGGAAGGCAGUUCACCCCCUGAUGCCUACAGAUCAAGAUGUAGAACUCUUAGCUCCUUCCGAAGCACCAUGUCUGCCUGUGUGCUGCCAUGUCCUGCCAUGAUAAAAAUGGACUAAACCUUGGAAACUGAAGAGCUUGCUAUCAGAAGAAGCAAGGCAUGUUCUAAAAAUCUGCUAAUUUGGGCUGGCAAGAUCCCUCCUUGGGUACAAACGCUUGUUGCAUAAGCCUUCUGAUCCCAGUUUGAUCUCCAGAAUCCUUGUAUAGUAGGCAGAUGCAAUGGUGUACAUCUGUAUUCCCGGCACUCCUCCUCACUCAGCUUGUGAACCAGCUACCCAGAGUAUGAAGCAGCAGGAACAACAAGAGAGACCUUGUCUCAACAAGGUGAAAGAAAAGACUCAAUCCACAGAAGAUAAUAUCCUGACCUUUUGCAAUACUGUGCGAGCCUAUACUCUUUCCCCUCUCUGUAAUAAUAAAAAAAUAAAAUGUGCUAAUUAACUCUGUGAAUUUGGAUUUUUCUAUAGUGUAUUCCUUCACAUUAGGCAUUACUAGUAUAUUGUCCUUCCUUGUCUUGUAUCUCAUUAGGGUCACUUAUUCAUUGGUUAGUCACACACUCCAUUGACUUACAUUUUGUUUUGUUUUUUCUUUAAGACAGGGUCUCUGCUUCUUGGUGUUCUAAAGCUUGCUAGUUUUGUAGCCCAGGCUGGCCCCACAUUCACUACCUCCCAUGCAGUGGGAUUAAAAGUGUGAGCCACUUUUCCUGGUAUCCACUGACU
rnacentral:lncRNA from 1 species